GAUGAACGCUGGCGGCGUGCCUAAUACAUGCAAGUCGAGCGAACGGACGAGAAUCUUGCUUCUCUGAUGUUAGCGGCGGACGGGUGAGUAACACGUGGAUAACCUACCUAUAAUACUGGGAUAACUUCGGGAAACCGGCGCUAAUACCGGAUAAUAUUUUGAACCGCAUGGUUCAAAAGUGAAAGACGGUCUUGCUGUCACUUAUAGAUGGAUCCCCGCUGCAUUAGCUAGUUGGUAAGGUAACGGCUUACCAAGGCAACGAUGCAUAGCCGACCUGUGAGGGUGAUCGGCCACACUGGAACGUGACCACGGUCCAGAGUACUGAGGGACGCAGCAGUAGGGAAUCGGCGGCAGUGGGCGAAAGCCUGACGGAGCAACGCCGCGUGAGUGAUGAAGGUCUUCGGAUCGUAAAACUCUGUUAUUAGGGAAGAACAUCUGUGUAAUUAACUGUGCACAUCUUGACGGUAACUAAUCAGAAAGCCACGGCUAACUACGUG
rnacentral:rRNA from 1 species